UGGGGAAUAUUGCACAAUGGGCGCAAGCCUGAUGCAGCCAUGCCGCGUGUGUGAAGAAGGCCUUCGGGUUGUAAAGCACUUUCAGCGAGGAGGAAGGUGGUGAGCUUAAUACGCUCAUCAAUUGACGUUACUCGCAGAAGAAGCACCGGCUAACUCCGUGCCAGCAGCCGCGGUAAUACGGAGGGUGCAAGCGUUAAUCGGAAUUACUGGGCGUAAAGCGCACGCAGGCGGUUUGUUAAGUCAGAUGUGAAAUCCCCGGGCUCAACCUGGGAACUGCAUUUGAAACUGGCAAGCUAGAGUCUCGUAGAGGGGGGUAGAAUUCCAGGUGUAGCGGUGAAAUGCGUAGAGAUCUGGAGGAAUACCGGUGGCGAAGGCGGCCCCCCUGGACGAAGACUGACGCUCAGGUGCGAAAGCGUGGGGCAGCAAACAGGAUUAGAUACCCUGGUAGUCCACGCUGUAAACGAUGUCGAUUUUGGAGGUUGUGCCCCUUGAGGCGUGGNUUCCGGAGCUAACG
rnacentral:rRNA from 1 species